UUCCGGUUGAUCCUGCCAGACCUGACUGCUAUCGGAUUGAUACUAAGCCAUGCGAGUCAUUGUAGCAAUACAAGGCAGACGACUCAGUAACGCGUAGUCAACCUAACCUAUGGACGGGAAUAACCUCGGGAAACUGAGAAUAAUGCCCGAUAGAACACUAUAUCUGGAAUGGUUUGUGUUCCAAAUGAUUUAUCGCCGUAGGAUGGGACUGCGGCCUAUCAGUUUGUUGGUGAGGUAAUGGCCCACCAAGACUAUUACAGGUACGGGCUCUGAGAGGAGUAGCCCGGAGAUGGGUACUGAGACACGGACCCAGGCCCUAUGGGGCGCAGCAGGCGAGAAAACUUUGCAAUGUGCGAAAGCACGACAAGGUUAAUCCGAGUGGUUUGUGCUAAACGAACCUUUUGUCGGUCCUAGAAACACCGAUGAAUAAGGGGUGGGCAAGUUCUGGUGUCAGCCGCCGCGGUAAAACCAGCACCUCAAGUGGUCAGGAUGAUUAUUGGGCCUAAAGCAUCCGUAGCCGGCGCUAUAAGUUUUCGGUUAAAUCUGUACGCUCAACGUACAGGCUGCCGGGAAUACUGUAGCGCUAGGGAGUGGGAGAGGUAGACGGUACUCGGUAGGAAGGGGUAAAAUCCUUUGAUCUAUUGAUGACCACCUGUGGCGAAGGCGGUCUACCAGAACACGUCCGACGGUGAGGGAUGAAAGCUGGGGGAGCAAACCGGAUUAGAUACCCGGGUAGUCCCAGCUGUAAACUAUGCAAACUCAGUGAUGCAUUGGCUUGUGGCCAAUGCAGUGCUGCAGGGAAGCCGUUAAGUUUGCCGCCUGGGAAGUACGUACGCAAGUAUGAAACUUAAAGGAAUUGGCGGGGGAGCACCACAAGGGGUGAAGCCUGCGGUUCAAUUGGAGUCAACGCCGG
rnacentral:rRNA from 2 species